UCGAUGUGAAGCUGCAUCAUCUGAGGUUACAGUUAAACCUCAGAGGAAGAGAACGUUGGAUGAUUUGACAGAUGCUCCGUGUGGAAGCAGUUCAGGCAGCUGUUGGAAGAGAAAGAAGAAAAAAUCGGGGUAGGACAGGAAGCAGCUGCGCCCAGUGUGGAGGGCUGAAAGGACCAGAACUUCAUGAAGAG